rnacentral:lncRNA from 1 species
AGAUUGCAGCUAUAAAAUCAGUUACCGAAUUCAUGCAUUGUUUAUUCUGACAACACACAAACAGAUCUACAAUCCAAUUCAAAGAAAAUACAAUAAAUCUACAAAUAUAUGAGAAAUCCCAUAAGGUACAUUAUUCCUUGGAUAGAUGCACGUUUAGCAUGGUCCAUGGCAAACUGCAACAUGCCAUCGAUAGCAAAUAGCCAAAAAAACAUUGUGCUACUUUUCUUAAUCAUUAUGUGCGAGCCUUAGAACCAUUGAAACGAAAGCAUAAAUAGGAGAGAAAGCAGACCAGGUGUAGAUCAACAUGGUAUGGUAUUGGGAUCCAAAUGGUUUAUUAUCUCUAGUGGCAUCAAUACCUUCCUGUAGAACACAAUGAUGAAGCUGUCAGUAUUAUUUUACAGAACAAUGUAAUGCAAAUAGAAUGUGUACAGACCGGAAAACUCUGGUCUUAGUCCAUUGAACACUAAAAAUGUGCAAGUCGCGGCAAGCAUGGUUCACCUUAUAAUUGUUGUUAUAACAGAUAGUUAUGUAUGGAAUGCAAUGGCAUGUUAAGCUAAGGAAAAUAAUGUGGACAAUUAUAGAAUUGUAUAGAUAAUGUAAUCAAACAUAUAUGUAAGAAGCAUGAUCCAAAUAGUACCAAUGUAUUGGUCAUCUUUUUGGCUUACGUUUUAUUUGAUUUUCUAAUAUCUUUUUUUAGUAGGGUUGUAAGUUGGCGUAUGAUUUCUUCUAAUACAGGUUAACUAAAAAUCUGCAAACAGGGUAAUGGUACUGAUCUGCAAUAGCAUCGAAUAUAAGGUUUUGACACCAAUUGUUACGAUUUUAGUAAACUAAAAUAUUAGAAAGAAGGGUGAACCCAUGAAUAUACCAAACGUGCAAGGUGGGAAAUAAAGAAAAGAAUCACCAGAGACAAUGGAAAACUGCACGUAUGAGUAGACCCCUCUGACAUGCAACAUCGCCAGUCAAUGUGUGAUGUCAAUGACAACCCAAAUACUACGUUUGUAAGCUAAUAUAAGACGUUUUAGAUCACUAAAGUAGUAGCGACGACCGAUGCCGUCACUCCAAUUCUGAAAAUGCUAUACAUGGCAUUCAAAUUUGAAGUUAACUUAUUAGAUGUCAAACAUAAAAUUAUGGCACCUGGAUAGACAGGACGGUCAUAUGUAGGAAAUUUCAUGGCAAAGCAAAUAAAUGAGUGUCUGCUGCAAAAGAUUCGCCAAAUUAUGCACUAAACAGAACCUCAAAUGCCCUAUACAAGAGGACUUCAACACAAAGCAGAGGAAAAUUACGCACUUUUGUUUUCUUUAAAACUGUCCAUGAGUGUAUUUUGCCAAUAAUUUGAAAAAAUGCAGUGCCUAAUUUUAUCAAGGGUUUUUAUCAUUUUUGCCACUAGUUGUGUCCCACUACUCAGUUUUGCCAUUAGAAAUUACAACUACUCAAAAUGACAUCGAUCCGUGAGAUGUUUGCUCAAAAAUGCCAACGUUCCGUUAGAUGUUUCCUCAAAAAUGCCAUUAGACAUCGUUAUUUUCACAUCAAACUCAUUGACCAUGUUAUAUGACAAAAAUAAGCCUAGACCCACAUGUCAGUUCUCUCUAUCUCACAAUGAUAAGUGUGGCCCCACUUGUCCGGAGUAAUCAAGCGAAUAAUUUUAUAAAAAAAUAAGAACGUCGUUGGGAUCAAGUGGGCCCCACACUUUAUUGUAGUAAGAUAGAAGGAGAGCUGGCAUGUUGGUUCAUAGGUAUUUAUGUCAUUAUAACAUGGCAAAAGAGAUUUGAGAUCACAAUAAUGGUGUUCAGUGGCAUUUUUGAACAUAUGUCUAACACAGCGAUGGCAUUUUUGAGCAGUUGAAAUUCCUAGUGGCAAAACUGAGUAGUGGGAGACAAUCGAUGGCAUAAAUGAUAAAAACCCUUUUAUCAAAUUUAGUCACAAAUAUUGGAGUGAGAAGACAUGUUACCGUGCUCGUCCCCUGAGUGCAAAAAAAAAGUCUCUUACUCUGAAUCUCUUUACUUUCAAUCAACUAAAUUUCAGCUUCAAGACUACAUAAUUUUUUAUAUCCGCAAAAGUUAAGCAGAUAGAAAAGCUGAGCUGACCUCCAACCAUGCAGUAAACUCCUAAUGAAGUUGUUCACGUCUGGUACCAAGCAGCAGUAGAGCAAGACAUCUCCUCCUUUUACAACACUUCCUCCUUGGAUAAUUAUAGUUGUGACUACAACUUUGCAGAAGUAUUUUUUUGCCUAAAUCAAGCCCAACCAAGAUAGUUCAGAACUCUAUACUAAAUAUCAAAUAAUAUAAUUACAUGGUCCCAAGUGAUGGAACAUACCACUCCAUUAUAUUUUCAUCUAAAAAGGUAUGCCACAAUAUAACUACACUCCAGAAUCCGCAAACAUGAGAAUUUAAUGGAGAGGCAACGCACCACAAGGGCAUACCAAAAGGCAGACUCCUGACACUUAAAUUCGAUGCAUCUGCCAUAAAAAAUACUAAGUGUCAAGUUCAUCAGUAGACCAAUUGUUUUCACUCCAUUCUCCAGUUCAUGGAUAAUAUCACAAUAUCACGCCCAUAAUCAAAAUCAAGAACGGACUGGCGACCUAGCAAUGUCGUGCAAUAGAGCAGUUAGUUCCAUCUAGAGCAAUCACACUGUAGUAGAGCGGUCAGUUCCACCUAGAGCAAUCAGACCAUAAAAUAUGAAAUUGCAUUGCAAGAUAAUUAACUUGAGGCAUAAUAGGGCACGAGCACUAACCUGUUUGAUAGCCAUUGGAGCUUCAUAGAAUCUACUGGAAGGUAGAAGACAACCCAGAAGAAGCAGCAGACCAAGUAAUAUGGAGCUCGAAUUUGCCUCCUAGAACACAUGGAUUCAUUUCAAAUUAUGUUAGCAUAAGGCACAAAUGUUGGGGAAACAUAAUUACAUGUUUGAGUACAUCUGCUUUAAUAUGAACCAUUUGAAGAUAGAAAAUUGAGGAUAUAGAAGGCACUACAUGCCAGUCUUGCUACUGCAACUAAACGUGACAUAGAAUUUAUAAGAAGAAACGGAUGCUUGUGCUAUAAAAGAUUCAAAAGUAACACUAAAUAGAAAAAAUAAUUAAAUAUAAAAGGGCAAGUAAUACUGUACAAUUCUGAUGAAUACUGAAAAUUAAUUUAUAAGUGUGAUUAUUGUGGUUUCUGGAGAGGUAGUGGAGCGUGAUGGCAAAGGGCCUAAAGGCAGGAGCACGUUGAUCUUAGCCCUGAAGAUGAUUAUGUGACUGCUUUUGCUCGUGAGCGCCAUCCACCGCUUGGCUUUGGGCAAUAGUGACUCACCGACCCCGUGAUUUAGUCGAUAUGAACAAACCGGAGUGCCCACGUUUUCCUGGCCGAAGGAGCGAUGCUGGCCACCAUCUCUUCCUCCACCUCCUCGAGCCCUCGCUCAGACUUCUUCACCUCCACCAU